rnacentral:rRNA from 1 species
UACGUAGGGUGCGAGCGUUGUCCGGAAUUAUUGGGCGUAAAGAGCUUGUAGGCGGUUUGUCGCGUCUGCUGUGAAAAUCCGAGGCUCAACCCCGGACUUGCAGUGGGUACGGGCAGACUAGAGUGUGGUAGGGGAGACUGGAAUUCCUGGUGUAGCGGUGAAAUGCGCAGAUAUCAGGAGGAACACCGAUGGCGAAGGCAGGUCUCUGGGCCGCUACUGACGCUGAGACGCGAAAGCGUGGGGAGCAAACAGG